UACGUAGGGAGCGAGCGUUGUCCGGAUUCAUUGGGCGUAAAGAGCUCGUAGGCGGCUUGGCAAGUCGGGUGUGAAAACUCCAGCUCAACCUGGAGACGCCACCCGAUACCUGCCAUGGCUAGAGUCCGGCAGGGGACCACGGAAUUCCUGGUGUAGCGGUGAAAUGCGCAGAUAUCAGGAGGAACACCGGUGGCGAAGGCGGUGGUCUGGGCCGGAACUGACGCUGAGGAGCGAAAGCGUGGGGAGCGAACAGG
rnacentral:rRNA from 1 species